CAAAAAGUUGCUUCGGUCAUUCCAGCUCUCAAGAGCCUCACAGAAAUGAAGCCCUUCCUGAGCAUCAUGCAUGCAAGAGCUCAUGCUACCAAGUGUGAGAUAAAAUGGAGUGGUCGGAAUCAGAAGGGAGCAGGCACAACUGCCGGUGAGGAGGUGGAGCAAAUAAACAGCUACCUCUCCCGUUGUGCCCUGACAACAAAGUACAUGUCAAAAGCAGCACGUGUGGACAUGCUCACUGUGCAUGCAAUGGGUUGGAACCAUCACAAAGCAGAGACGCUACACAAGGCCCUCUCCACAAGAUAUGUGAAGACAUCUAAAAGGGCAGAAGAAGAGGCAGAGAGGCUGUCACAACUGCAGAAGGACCUGCAGUGCUCAAAUGCAAUGGCUGUACAGUGGAUUGCUGAAGUCAAGGAAUGGGCAGAGAGCGAGACCCCAGUAACGGGUCUGCACGUUCUCCAGCAGUCCAUUGAGGGUCUCCAUCUGGGUCUAAAGCAACAGAAACAAACCCUCUACCGUCAGAAUGGUAUGUAGGCUUUUUCUUGAGUUAUCCGGUAUACCUAACAAUGUAUCUAUAUUGUUUUUAAUAUAACCUAUACAAGGUUUUUGUGUCUGCAUAUUACGUUUCUCCUAAACAAU
ensembl:lncRNA